rnacentral:rRNA from 1 species
UGUGAGCUCGAUGAGUAGGGCGGGACACGUGGUAUCCUGUCUGAAUAUGGGGGGACCAUCCUCCAAGGCUAAAUACUCCUGACUGACCGAUAGUGAACCAGUACCGUGAGGGAAAGGCGAAAAGAACCCCGGCGAGGGGAGUGAAAAAGAACCUGAAACCGUGUACGUACAAGCAGUGGGAGCACGCUUAGGCGUGUGACUGCGUACCUUUUGUAUAAUGGGUCAGCGACUUAUAUUCUGUAGCAAGGUUAACCGAAUAGGGGAGCCGAAGGGAAACCGAGUCUUAACUGGGCGUUAAGUUGCAGGGUAUAGACCCGAAACCCGGUGAUCUAGCCAUGGGCAGGUUGAAGGUUGGGUAACACUAACUGGAGGACCGAACCGACUAAUGUUGAAAAAUUAGCGGAUGACUUGUGGCUGGGGGUGAAAGGCCAAUCAAACCGGGAGAUAGCUGGUUCUCCCCGAAAGCUAUUUAGGUAGCGCCUCGUGAAUUCAUCUCCGGGGGUAGAGCACUGUUUCGGCAAGGGGGUCAUCCCGACUUACCAACCCGAUGCAAACUGCGAAUACCGGAGAAUGUUAUCACGGGAGACACACGGCGGGUGCUAACGUCCGUCGUGAAGAGGGAAACAACCCAGACCGCCAGCUAAGGUCCCAAAGUCAUGGUUAAGUGGGAAACGAUGUGGGAAGGCCCAGACAGCCAGGAUGUUGGCUUAGAAGCAGCCAUCAUUUAAAGAAAGCGUAAUAGCUCACUGGUCGAGUCGGCCUGCGCGGAAGAUGUAACGGGGCUAAACCAUGCACCGAAGCUGCGGCAGCGACGCUUAUGCGUUGUUGGGUAGGGGAGCGUUCUGUAAGCCUGCGAAGGUGUGCUGUGAGGCAUGCUGGAGGUAUCAGAAGUGCGAAUGCUGACAUAAGUAACGAUAAAGCGGGUGAAAAGCCCGCUCGCCGGAAGACCAAGGGUUCCUGUCCAACGUUAAUCGGGGCAGGGUGAGUCGACCCCUAAGGCGAGGCCGAAAGGCGUAGUCGAUGGGAAACAGGUUAAUAUUCCUGUACUUGGUGUUACUGCGAAGGGGGGACGGAGAAGGCUAUGUUGGCCGGGCGACGGUUGUCCCGGUUUAAGCGUGUAGGCUGGUUUUCCAGGCAAAUCCGGAAAAUCAAGGCUGAGGCGUGAUGACGAGGCACUACGGUGCUGAAGCAACAAAUGCCCUGCUUCCAGGAAAAGCCUCUAAGCAUCAGGUAACAUCAAAUCGUACCCCAAACCGACACAGGUGGUCAGGUAGAGAAUACCAAGGCGCUUGAGAGAACUCGGGUGAAGGAACUAGGCAAAAUGGUGCCGUAACUUCGGGAGAAGGCACGCUGAUAUGUAGGUGAAGCGACUUGCUCGUGGAGCUGAAAUCAGUCGAAGAUACCAGCUGGCUGCAACUGUUUAUUAAAAACACAGCACUGUGCAAACACGAAAGUGGACGUAUACGGUGUGACGCCUGCCCGGUGCCGGAAGGUUAAUUGAUGGGGUUAGCGCAAGCGAAGCUCUUGAUCGAAGCCCCGGUAAACGGCGGCCGUAACUAUAACGGUCCUAAGGUAGCGAAAUUCCUUGUCGGGUAAGUUCCGACCUGCACGAAUGGCGUAAUGAUGGCCAGGCUGUCUCCACCCGAGACUCAGUGAAAUUGAACUCGCUGUGAAGAUGCAGUGUACCCGCGGCAAGACGGAAAGACCCCGUGAACCUUUACUAUAGCUUGACACUGAACAUUGAGCCUUGAUGUGUAGGAUAGGUGGGAGGCUUGGAAGUGUGGACGCCAGUCUGCAUGGAGCCGACCUUGAAAUACCACCCUUUAAUGUUUGAUGUUCUAACGUUGACCCGUAAUCCGGGUUGCGGACAGUGUCUGGUGGGUAGUUUGACUGGGGCGGUCUCCUCCUAAAGAGUAACGGAGGAGCACGAAGGUUGGCUAAUCCUGGUCGGACAUCAGGAGGUUAGUGCAAUGGCAUAAGCCAGCUUGACUGCGAGCGUGACGGCGCGAGCAGGUGCGAAAGCAGGUCAUAGUGAUCCGGUGGUUCUGAAUGGAAGGGCCAUCGCUCAACGGAUAAAAGGUACUCCGGGGAUAACAGGCUGAUACCGCCCAAGAGUUCAUAUCGACGGCGGUGUUUGGCACCUCGAUGUCGGCUCAUCACAUCCUGGGGCUGAAGUAGGUCCCAAGGGUAUGGCUGUUCGCCAUUUAAAGUGGUACGCGAGCUGGGUUUAGAACGUCGUGAGACAGUUCGGUCCCUAUCUGCCGUGGGCGCUGGAGAAUUGAGGGGGGCUGCUCCUAGUACGAGAGGACCGGAGUGGACGCAUCACUGGUGUUCGGGUUGUCAUGCCAAUGGCACUGCCCGGUAGCUAAAUGCGGAAGAGAUAAGUGCUGAAAGCAUCUAAGCACGAAACUUGCCCCGAGAUGAGUUCUCCCUGACUCCUUGA